rnacentral:rRNA from 1 species
UAAUACAUGCAAGUCGAACGCUUUGUGGUUCAACUGAUAUGAAGAGCUUGCUCGGAUUUGAAGAUGAACAUUGCAAAGAGUGGCGAACGGGUGAGUAACACGUGGGAAACCUACCUCUUAGCGGGGGAUAACACUUGGAAACAAGUGCUAAUACCGCAUAAUACUGAUAACCGCAUGGUUAUCAGUUGAAAGAUGGUUCUGCUAUCACUAAGAGAUGGUCCCGCGGUGUAUUAGCUAGUUGGUAAGGUAAUGGCUUACCAAGGCAAUGAUACAUAGCCGAGUUGAGAGACUGAUCGGCCACAAUGGGACUGAGACACGGCCCAUACUCCUACGGGAGGCAGCAGUAGGGAAUCUUCCACAAUGGACGAAAGUCUGAUGGAGCAACGCCGCGUGUGUGAUGAAGGGUUUCGGCUCGUAAAACACUGUUGUAAGAGAAGAAUGACAUUGAGAGUAACUGUUCAGUGUGUGACGGUAUCUUACCAGAAAGGAACGGCUAAAUACGUGCCAGCAGCCGCGGUAAUACGUAUGUUCCAAGCGUUAUCCGGAUUUAUUGGGCGUAAAGCGAGCGCAGACGGUUGUUUAAGUCUGAAGUGAAAGCCCACAGCUUAACUGUGGAAGUGCUUUGGAAACUGGAUAACUUGAGUGCAGUAGAGGAGAGUGGAACUCCAUGUGUAGCGGUGAAAUGCGUAGAUAUAUGGAAGAACACCAGUGGCGAAGGCGGCUCUCUGGACUGUAACUGACGUUGAGGCUCGAAA